AAAACGGAGAGUUUGAUCCUGGCUCAGGAUGAACGCUGGCGGCGUGCUUAACACAUGCAAGUCGAACGAACCUUCGGGUUAGUGGCGGACGGGUGAGUAACGCGUGAGAAUCUGCCCUCAGGAAGGGGAUAACAGUUGGAAACGACUGCUAAUACCCCAUAUGCCGAGAGGUGAAAUGAAUUUCGCCUGGGGAUGAGCUCGCGUCUGAUUAGCUUGUUGGUGGGGUAACGGCCUACCAAGGCCUCGAUCAGUAGCUGGUCUGAGAGGACGAUCAGCCACACUGGGACUGAGACACGGCCCAGAC
rnacentral:rRNA from 2 species